CAAACACCUCAUACCAACUGUCUAGCACGGUGGUGGAGGGCUCAUGAUUUGGGCUAGUUUUGCAGUCACAGAGGCAGCCAUGAACUCUUCGAUAAUCCUGUGGACAGCCGUCACACCUCUGUUGCUGCUUUGACUUCUCAAAAGUGUGUACACAAAUCACUGACUCCUUUCGAAAAGAAAACCUUUGUGCACCUAUAGCAUUCUCCCUGUUUAUAUCAUUUCCUUGCUCUUCGGGCUGCUUGAGAGUCGAAGAGACCAGAGAUACUAAACCAGCCUACAUGGUUAAAUGAGAAAGCUCUAAACAAGAAUUUCAAGGAGGCGGCGUUAAAGAUGUUUCUUCUUAUUUACAAUUCUUCCAUCUCUAGCAGAACCCAGGCACAGAUUGUAAUAGAUGUCCAGACCAGAUUGAAAAAAAAUCUUCCCAUUAGCUUCCAGUCUAUUAUUUUUGGGUUUAUACUUUCAUACCUUGUGGGUUUGUCCACAAAUAAAGUCAGAGUGGUCUACGCGCUGCUCAGGUCGUAUGUCACAAUCUUUACAAAUUGCCUUACUAUUAUUGAUGCCCUGCUCUCUUUCAAAAGCAAAAAAAGGGUUUCUACAUCAGCUUCAAGACAUGUUAAACCUGAUCCUGGAAGUCGUUUCAGGGACCAUAGAAAUAUAUUUGCAAAACGUAGGUGAUGAUAACCUCUAUUCUUGACAGAAUAGACUCCUUCUGGAAGGUCUGGUACCCUUGAGACACUUCUC